GAGUUUGAUCCUGGCUCAGGGUGAACGCUGGCGGCGUGGAUAAGGCAUGCAAGUCGAACGGGUUUAGACCCGUGGCAGACGAGGUAGUAACGCGUAGGAACGUACCCCAUAGUCAGGGAUAUGCUAUCGAAAGGUAGUGCAACACCUGAUGGUCCCGCAAGGGUAAAGAUUUAUCGCUAUGGGAGCGGCCUGCGUAAUAUCAGCUUGUUGGUAAGGUAAUGGCUUACCAAGGCUACGACGUUUAGGGGAGGUGAGAGCCUGACCCCCACCGAUGGGACUGAGACACGGCCCAUACUCCUACGGGAGGCCGCAGUCGAGAAUCUUCCGCAAUGGACGAAAGUCUGACGGAGCGACGCCGCGUGGUGGAUGAAGUCUUUAGGGACGUAAACACCUUUUAUGAGGGAUGAAGUUUAUUGACAGUACCUCAUGAAUAAGGGGCUCCUAAUUCUGUGCCAGCAGGAGCGGUAAUACAGAAGCCCCAAGCGUUACCCGGAAUCACUGGGCGUAAAGGAUACGUAGGCGGCUAUAUUAGUCUCUCGUAAAAUCUCCAGGCUUAACCUGGAAUCGGCGGGAGAAACGGUAUAGCUAGAGGAUAUGAGAGGUUGAGGGAACUCACGGUGUAGGGGUGAAAUCCGUUGAUAUCGUGGAGGAACACCAAAUGCGAAGGCACUCAACUGGCAUACUCCUGACGCUGAGGUAUGAAAGCCAGGGUAACGAAUGGGAUUAGAUACCCCAGUAGUCCUGGCCCUAAACGCUGCUCGCUCGCUCUAGGGAGUAUCGACCCUUUCUGGGGCUAAGCUAACGCGGUAAGCGAGCCGCCUGGGUAGUACGAUCGCAAGAUUAAAACUCAAAGGAAUAGACGGGGACUCGCACAAGCGGUGGAUCAUGCGGCUUAAUUCGUCACUAAGCGAAGAACCUUACCAAGAUUAGAAACUCAGCUGCACGCUCCCAGAAACGGGAGAAGCCUUCGAGGGUGCUGAGCAGGUGAUGCAUGGCCGUCGUCAGUUCGUGGUUUGAACUGUUCCCUUAAGUGGGGUAACGAACGCAACCCUCAUUGCCUGUUAUAUGUGUCAGGCGAGACUGCUCCCUCACGGGAGAGGAAGGUGGGGAUGACGCCAGGUCAGCAUGUCCCUAGAUAUCUUGGGCUGCACGCGUGAUACAAUGGCUGGUACAGUGAGAUGCAAUGGGGUGACCCGGAGCAAAUCUAGAAAACCAGUCUCAAUCCGGAUUGAAGUCUGAAACUCGACUUCAUGAAGUUGGAAUCGCUAGUAAUCGUGGAUCAGCAACGCCACGGUGAAUACGUUCUCGAGUCUUGUACUCACCGCCCGUCAAGUCAAGGGAGUUGGGGGUACCCGACGUCCGUGUUUAUCACGGCCUAAGGUAAAUUCAAUAACAAGGACUAAGUCGUAACAAGGUAACC
rnacentral:rRNA from 1 species